UACGUAGGGUGCAAGCGUUGAUCGGAAUUACUGGGCGUAAAGCGUGCGCAGGCGGUUAUGUAAGACAGGUGUGAAAUCCCCGGGCUUAACCUGGGAACUGCAUUUGUGACUGCAUAGCUAGAGUACGGUAGAGGGGGAUGGAAUUCCGCGUGUAGCAGUGAAAUGCGUAGAUAUGCGGAGGAACACCGAUGGCGAAGGCAAUCCCCUGGACCUGUACUGACGCUCAUGCACGAAAGCGUGGGGAGCAAACAGG
rnacentral:rRNA from 1 species